AAGCUCAAGGGCGUACAAAUCUUGCCAAUGGCAUUUCCCUGGACGUUAGCGAUGAUCCGCGAGGUAGCAACCUGGAGUUUGCUUCACCGUUAGUACGUGCACGGAACGCGGUGGGGU
rnacentral:sRNA from 12 species